rnacentral:rRNA from 1 species
GACGAACGCUGGCGGCGUGCUUAACACAUGCAAGUCGAACGGAAAGGCCCUGCUUUUGUGGGGUGCUCGAGUGGCGAACGGGUGAGUAACACGUGAGUAACCUGCCCUUGACUUUGGGAUAACUUCAGGAAACUGGGGCUAAUACCGGAUAGGAGCUCCUGCUGCAUGGUGGGGGUUGGAAAGUUUCGGCGGUUGGGGAUGGGCUCGCGGCUUAUCAGCUUGUUGGUGGGGUAGUGGCUUACCAAGGCUUUGACGGGUAGCCGGCCUGAGAGGGUGACCGGCCACAUUGGGACUGAGAUACGGCCCAGACUCUUACGGGAGGCAGCAGUGGGGAAUAUUGCACAAUGGGCGGAAGCCUGAUGCAGCAACGCCGCGUGCGGGAUGACGGCCUUCGGGUUGUAAACCGCUUUCGCCUGUGACGAAGCGUGAGUGACGGUAAUGGGUAAAGAAGCACCGGCUAACUACGUGCCAGCGGCCGCGGUGAUACGUAGGGUGCGAGCGUUGUCCGGAUUUAUUGGGCGUAAAGGGCUCGUAGGUGGUUGAUCGCGUCGGAAGUGUAAUCUUGGGGCUUAACCCUGAGCGUGCUUUCGAUACGGGUUGACUUGAGGAAGGUAGGGGAGAAUGGAAUUCCUGGUGGAGCGGUGGAAUGCGCAGAUAUCAGGAGGAACACCAGUGGCGAAGGCGGUUCUCUGGGCCUUUCCUGACGCUGAGGAGCGAAAGCGUGGGGAGCGAACAGGCUUAGAUUCCCUGGUAGUCCACGCUGUAAACGGUGGGUACUAGGUGUGGGGUCCAUUCCACGGGUUCCGUGCCGUAGCUAACGCUUUAAGUACCCCGCCUGGGGAGUGCGGCCGCAAGGCUAAAACUCAAAGGAAUUGACGGGGCCCCGCACAAGCGGCGGAGCAUGCGGAUUAAUUCGAUGCAACGCGUAGAACCUUACCUGGGUUUGACAUGGAUCGGGAGUGCUCAGAGAUGGGUGUGCCUCUUUUGGGGUCGGUUCACAGGUGGUGCAUGGCUGUCGUCAGCUCGUGUCGUGAGAUGUUGGGUUAAGUCCCGCAACGAGCGCAACCCUUGUUCACUGUUGCCAGCACGUUAUGGUGGGGACUCAGUGGAGACCGCCGGGGUCAACUCGGAGGAAGGUGGGGAUGACGUCAAGUCAUCAUGCCCCUUAUGUCCAGGGCUUCACGCAUGCUACAAUGGCUGGUACAGAGAGUGGCGAGCCUGUGAGGGUGAGCGAAUCUCGGAAAGUCGGUCUCAGUUCGGAUUGGGGUCUGCAACUCGACCUCAUGAAGUCGGAGUCGCUAGUAAUCGCAGAUCAGCAACGCUGCGGUGAAUACGUUCCCGGG